UGGGGAAUAUUGCACAAUGGGCGCAAGCCUGAUGCAGCCAUGCCGCGUGUAUGAAGAAGGCCUUCGGGUUGUAAAGUACUUUCAGCGGGGAGGAAGGCGAUAAGGUUAAUAACCUUGUCGAUUGACGUUACCCGCAGAAGAAGCACCGGCUAACUCCGUGCCAGCAGCCGCGGUAAUACGGAGGGUGCAAGCGUUAAUCGGAAUUACUGGGCGUAAAGCGCGCGCAGGCGGUCUGUCAAGGCGGAUGUGAAAUCCCCGGGCUCAACCUGGGAACUGCAUUCGAAACUGGCAGGCUAGAGUCUUGUAGAGGGGGGUAGAAUUCCAGGUGUAGCGGUGAAAUGCGUAGAGAUCUGGAGGAAUACCGGUGGCGAAGGCGGCCCCCUGGACAAAGACUGACGCUCAGGUGCGAAAGCGUGGGGAGCAAACA
rnacentral:rRNA from 1 species